GAUGAACGCUGGCGGCGUGCCUAAUACAUGCAAGUCGAGCGAACAGACGAGGAGCUUGCUCCUCUGACGUUAGCGGCGGACGGGUGAGUAACACGUGGAUAACCUACCUAUAAGACUGGGAUAACUUCGGGAAACCGGAGCUAAUACCGGAUAAUAUAUUGAACCGCAUGGUUCAAUAGUGAAAGACGGUUUUGCUUUCACUUAUAGAUGGAUCCGCGCCGCAUUAGCUAGUUGGUAAGGUAACGGCUUACCAAGGCAACGAUGCGUAGCCGACCUGAGAGGGUGAGCGGCCACAAUGGAACUGAGACACGGUCCAGACUCCUACGGGAGGCAGCAGUAGGGAAUCUUCCGCAAUGGGCGAAAGCCUGACGGAGCAACGCCGCGUGAGUGAUGAAGGUCUUCGGAUCGUAAAACUCUGUUAUUAGGGAAGAACAAAUGUGUAAGUAACUAUGCACGUCUUGACGGUACCUAAUCAGAAAGCCACGGCUAACUACGUG
rnacentral:rRNA from 1 species